rfam:Treponema lecithinolyticum ATCC 700332 genomic scaffold Scaffold106, whole genome shotgun sequence.
GGAGAGAUGCGAGAGCGGUCGAUUCGGGCGGUCUCGAAAACCGUUGUACCGCAAGGUACCGGGGGUUCGAAUCCCCCUCUCUCCN